UGAUGAUGAAACUUAGGAAUAAAGCUC
rnacentral:sRNA from 1 species